rnacentral:rRNA from 1 species
AACGCUGAAGCCCGCAGCUUGCUGUGGGUGGAUGAGUGGCGAACGGGUGAGUAACACGUGAGUAACCUGCCCUUCACUCUGGGAUAAGCGCUGGAAACGGCGUCUAAUACCGGAUACGACCAGUCCUCGCAUGGGGUGCUGGUGGAAAGCUCCGGCGGUGAAGGAUGGACUCGCGGCCUAUCAGCUUGUUGGUGGGGUAAUGGCCUACCAAGGCGACGACGGGUAGCCGGCCUGAGAGGGCGACCGGCCACACUGGGACUGAGACACGGCCCAGACUCCUACGGGAGGCAGCAGUGGGGAAUAUUGCACAAUGGGCGCAAGCCUGAUGCAGCGACGCCGCGUGAGGGAUGACGGCCUUCGGGUUGUAAACCUCUUUCAGUUGGGACGAAGCCAGCUUGCUGGUGACGGUACCUUCAGAAGAAGCACCGGCUAACUACGUGCCAGCACCGACGGUAAUAA